rnacentral:tRNA from 1 species
ACCUGGGUGGCUCAGUUGGUUGAGUGUCUGACUAGGCUCAGGUCACUAUCUCACAGUUCGUGGGUUCGAGCCCUGCCUCAGGCU